GUAAAUAUAGCUUAUAAUAAAGCCCCUACCUGUUAAGUAGAAGAUACUCAAUGUUAUUUACG
rnacentral:tRNA from 1 species